CACUUNGCCCAUUAAUUGUGGGCUAGAAUGAAAGGACCAACGAAAUAAAUACUGUCUCUAUAAGUAUUAUAAAAAUUAAUCUCUAACUGAAGAGUGUUAGAUAAAAUCNAAGGACAAGAAGACCCUAUAGAGCUUUAUUUAAUAAAAGUGUUCAAACUUUUCAUAAUUCGGUUGGGGCGACCAGGGAAGUAAUAAAUCAUCCCUAUCUAUAAGAUUAAUAAAUCUCCUAUAUGACCCUUAAUAAAGAUCACAAAAUCAAGCUACCUUAGGGAUAACAGGCUAAUCCUAUUAGAGAGUUCUUAUCAAUAAUGGGGUUUGGCACCUCNAUGUUGGCUUANGGAAUCUAUACNGCGCAAAACUCGUAUAAAGAUGGUUUGUUCAACCCANAACACCCUACGUGAUCUGAGUUCAGACCGGA
rnacentral:rRNA from 1 species